rnacentral:misc_RNA from 1 species
UACAGAGGGUGCGAGCGUUAAUCGGAAUUACUGGGCGUAAAGCGCUCGUAGGCGGCUUUGUAAGUCGGUUGUGAAAUCCCCGGGCUUAACCUGGGAACUGCAUCCGAGACUGCAUAGCUAGAGUAUGGGAGAGGGAAGUGGAAUUUCAGGUGUAGCGGUGAAAUGCGUAGAUAUCUGAAGGAACAUCAGUGGCGAAAGCGACUUCCUGGACCAAUACUGACGCUCAUGUGCGAAAGCAUGGGUAGCGAACGGG